ensembl:lincRNA
UUCAUCAAGUAAAGAAGCUUGCUUUUAAGCGCAAAAAUCUUGAGCUCAGUCCACAGGACACACAUGGAAGAAGGAUAGAAUUCAUUCCCACAAGUAGUCCUUUAAUCUCCACACACAAUCUAAUAAGCAUGUACACAUACAUGUGUGUGCAUGUUUGCACACACAACAAAUGAUUGUAAGAAAAAGGUUCAUUUAUAUUUUAUGUAAUAUACAUGAAAUUUCUAGGUGAUUUUUGCAAAUUUUAAAACUAUAAAAAAUUCGGUGAAAAACUGCCAACUACCCAAAGCCUGAUAAAAUUGCUUAAAGGCAAGAUAUCAAGUAAGGCAAUAUUUAUUAAAUAAUAUUUAUUAAUCUGGGCAAAAACAAAAGAAAUCUAUGCAACUGAGACAUGAGCUUCUUCUUUCCUUCUCUAGCUGAAUCUGACUGAAUGCAUGCAUCUUACAUAAACACAAUAAUAAAAGAUAAAAAUUAAAAAAGAAACUUUCCUCUCGAUAGGCUUGGCAGAGACACAGGCUACUGCCCAGAGCCACCAGCCAAGGUAGAUCACUAAGAGAGAUGAGCUAUCAGCCACUAUUGCCUUCCACCUUACAAGCUCCUAGCAACUACAAUUGUGGUCAAGAAGGAUGGUGAAAUGUGUCUUCUUUACAUCAGAUUUCAUCAUAGAGAAGAGACUCUACUCCCAAAGAUGGCUGAGUAUUACUGGUCCACCAGAUGCCCUUAACCCAGCUUGCCCAUAGGCAGAGCUCCAGUCCUAUGAGACCCAAGUUGAGAAGACCACGGGCUACUACCCUUUCCAACGAUCCCAGUCACAAAGCAAUGAACACAAUCCCAAGAAAAAUGCCACAAUGCCUCAACACCCAACUAUAGAGAGUGACUCUCGGAUAUUUUUCUGCUUCAGCAACAGGGGUAGACCUUUGAACAGAGGUCUCCAAAGCUCUUCCCAAAGAAGCUGGCUUUAUCUGAACAGACUGCAGUAACUCUCUGUAACAAGGCGUAUUUGGUGGUAAACAAUUAAGAAGAUGCUGAGAAGUCUGUUAAUUAAGAACCACCAUCUAAACCACAAAUAAAUGACUUUACUGAGGAGAGCCAAGGAGAGAGACAGUGGUGACGAGCUCUCCUGAGAUCUGAACAAACCUCAAAUACUACAAAUUGGAAGGGUACCAAAUUUAAUUGGAUCUGACUGUUGAGCAAUUGGUGCCCCAGGACAUGUUGAAAAACAAUAAAGCAAGCCCUGCCCAGCAAGUGGCAAAGCCUAACAUCUGGGAGUGAUUGGCACAAACACACAGUUCAGUUUAACUGAAAGAUCAGGAACAGAGAAAGUCAGAGAGAGCUCCGAGGAAGCCUCCACCAUCCUGCAGUGAUGGUGCUUACACUGGAGGCUGUGAUCUCUGCAGACGACUUCACACUGAGGCAAACUCUGCCUCGCCAUAAUAGUUUAAUUAAACCACAAAACACGAAUGUAACAGCAAAAGUAAGCCUUGGAGAGGGGAGGCAGAAAUCAAUAUCUAGUUGAUACAAUAUAUUACCUUACAUGCCCAAUUUUCAACAGAAAGAAUUAGGAGACAAGGAAAGAAGCAGAAAAGAGACGGCAAUGUGCAGAAGAGAAUGCAAGCAGCCAGAAACCAUGAGCAUGCUCCAGCAUUGACUUAACCCAAGACUUCAAAGCUGCCAUUAGAAAUAGGCUCAAAGAAUUAAAAGAAACCAUGUGCAAAGAAGUGAAAAAAAAAAAAACAGAGCAGCCUUCCCAAAUCUCCAAGCAAUGAGAAAAUUAGCAACAUUUGCCCUAAUCAAUAUUCCCCUAAGAGGAAGAAGCCAAGGGUUUACAACAAGCUUAGAUGAAUUUAUCCACACAAAAUGGUGGAAGAUCUUAAUAAGGAUAUUCAUGAUAUUUGGGGUAUUGUGUCUAGCCCAGGUCCAAUCUCAUACACUCCAGCUCCAAAGUAGUUCUGAAAGUUCAUCAUCUACAUUCACAGUGAGAACAAAUCCCUGGGAGACAGCAUGGAGCAGAAAGAUGCUGGACCUCCUUGGGCGAUAACUUUCACAUCACUGCCCUUGCUUGACCAGUCUGGAUCGGCCUUGCAACAGAGUCCCUUUGAAAGGGUCCAGACCAAAAUUCUGCAGUAUCAUGCCCCAGUUCUUAUGUGUCUGGAGGAGUUGAAGCAAGAACAAAGCUGCUGGACUUGCACUCCUUAAAGAGUUGAUGGUAGGAGGCUAGAAAAAUGGAGUAUGGCCUUCAUUAGUGGAAUUCUGAGUUUGACAUAAGCAUAUGCAAUGAUCUUCAAAUCAGAAGAUUAUUCAGAUGAAGCUUAAAAAAUCCUAUGAGCACCUUUGGAGGCAGCCAUUUUCACAAGCUAGCAAAAGAAUUGGAAGCUUAAAGAUCUCCAUAAUACACCUUUCUUCCUUUCAGUAAGUCUCUAAUCUGUUCUCUUUGGACUUGACACAGUUUCCCACAAGUAGGGGUUUCAUGAAGCUUCUUCCUGUGCUCCUAAGAGCAUUAUAAUUAAAUUCUCAUUUUGAGAUAAAUGUACUUUCAUAUGCCUGGGUAAUGAGUAAUGAUGACGAAUUCUGUGUACCCUUUCCCCAGUUUCUCCCACUGGUAUUGUGUUAAAGAAGUAUUUAAAGCAGAAUAAUUAGGAUAGUGACAUGUACAGACAAGAUAUUUGCAUCAUCGUGAUGGCUGGUUGUGAUGUACUUUUUUAUUAAUCUUCACUUCUCUCCCACUAAUUCUUCUUUAAUCUUUCCCAGUCAUACACACACACACACACACACACACACACACACACACACAUAUAUAUAUAUAUAUAUAUAUAUAUAUACAUACAUAUAUACAUACNNNNNNNNNNAUAUAUAUAUAUAUAUAUAUAUAUAUAUAUAUAUAUAUAUAUAACUUGCUUAGUCCAUAUAAUGUUACCUGUGUAUUUAUAAUCUCAGGACUGACCAGAUGGCAUUGAAAAUGGGGCCAUUUGUGAUACUUUUACAUGGAAGCAAGUAGUGCUCUAUUCUAUUCUGGACACGAAAGAAAAGUGACUUUCCAAGGGAAUAUGUGGAUUUGUACCAGUAAUGUAUGAAAGACUCAGAUUCCACAAAUUCACAACAUCAUGAGACUUUAUCUGUUUCACUUGGUUUUGAUAAGAGAGUCUGUAAGAGUUACUCUCAUGUACCUGUGACCAAAUCCCUGACAGGAAGCAUCUUAGCAGAGGAUGAAAACAAAUUGUCUUAUAGUUAAAGGCAAUGCAAUCCAUCAUGUCAAGGAUUCCUGGAGGAACUAGAGGUGGCAGACAACCUCAAGGAAACUGCUUCUUCAAGACACAAGGCUGAUAUGCACAUAAAUUCACAAGACUAUGACAACAUGAACAAGACUUGUGCAGACUGGAGCCAGGCAAUGGGAGGAAAGGAUAUGGACACGUCCCUCUCCUAGCCAAGAAGCUAUUUGCAAUUGAAUCUAUACGAGAAUUGAAUCUAUUCAUUGAAGUGACUCUGGGUAUAUCAACAACAAUAUUACCAAAAUAUAUUGUACCAAGUUUUCAAAAAUAAAUAUAAACAUUAAAAAUGUUUCAAAUAAGAGAAAUUACCAUAGCAAGUGUCAUCAUGGAAGUGAAACAGCUGGAACUUUAAUAUGUUAUUGGUGUGAGCAAAAGUUAUGUCUUCCACUUCAGAAAAUCAUUUGGUAAAUCGCUUUAAAAUAAGCCUAUACCAUGAUGUAGUAAUUCCACUUCUAAGAGAUUUU